rnacentral:lncRNA from 1 species
GCUGAUUACUGCCGUUCGGGGCAAGAACGAGACCUUCAUCGAGAGGCUCUCGAUUAGGGCGCGCGGCGGUGGUGGGGGCGGCGGAGGCGUCGGAGGAGGACGGGCGGCCGCCAUCGGGGGCUGUAAUAGACGAGAUGGCCAAUUCGAGGUCCCAAUUGUGAGCGGAGAGAAUCUCGGUGCACAAAUCGGCGUCUUCUAAACCCGUGAUUGCUUGAAAAUACGCCAAUUUGUCAGCCACGUCUCCCAUUUCGCGAGCAGCAGUGUCUGUCAGUGCGGUUAUGCCAAGAGUGGGAGGAAGUGGGGUGAUUGGGGGAGGUGGGAGCUGAAAAAGGGGAAUUUGAGAUUUGGGAUCGAAGAAUUUGGAAGUUCGAAGUGUUGGAGGAGGAGAUGGGGAGAAGGGGUUUUGAUUAUGGGCGACGGAGAGAGUGAGGGAUGGCGAAAUGACGGUAAUGUCGGCGGCGAGGGACGAAAUUACGAAACUGCCAUUGCCAUGUUGGAGACUAGAGAGAGGGGAGGUGGUUAUUAAAUAAAUAAAAUUAUUAUACUAGUAAAUAAAUAAAUAAUUCAUACUACACUAUGUAUGAUUGCAAUUUGCAGUUUGCAAAUUGCUUCUCUUGGGAAAAUGAGCAUUUAACAUUAUGGGCAGGCUCUAGUCCCAAAACGAUAGUAAAACGGCAAAUUUACUUUUCAUUAUGUUAGGUUUAAUAAGUGAAAAGUAAAAUAAUAAAUAAAGAAAAAAAAUUGCUCCCUCCGUCCGCCAAAAGUAUUCCACAAUUACUAUAUUUGGCGUCCGUAAAAAGUAUUCCACUUUCCUUUUUAAGCCAUGGUCCCACCAUCCACCUUUAUAUUUUAUCCUUACAAACACUCUUUAUUUACAAAAAACUCACCCCAAAUUCAAUCUCAACCACACAUCUCCUAAAGUGGUGGGACCCUUUCUCCACUACAUCAACAUCAUCACACAUUUUAUUAAACUUCGUGCCCGGCCAAAGUGGAAUACUUUUGACGAACAGAGGGAGUACAAUAUAAAUAAAAGUAAUAAAUUUCGUGGAAGGGUGUAAAAAAAAUACAAUUCAUAUUUGGAGAUAGUAUUUUUAACUCUCUCAUUUCCUAGGCUGCAAGCCUGCUAGGAAUAAAACUUGAUAUAUUAAAUAAAUUUAGAUAUGUAAUUAUAUAAAAUAAAAUUUUUUUCAAGCUUGAAAUCAUAAAAAUCUAAUUAAUUUUAUUAUUCUAUUAAAUAAAUUUUGAUUUUUUUUAAUGGCAAAUUCAUAAUAUUUUAUUCGAAAUUCAUAACAACACAAUUGUUUAAUACUCCCUCCGUCCCGGCCAAGACGCUACAUUUGUUUUUCGGCACGGGNACAGCAUUUAAAACAAAAGAACGAAAUUAUAGGAAAAAGCAUACUUGAUCGGCCUCAAGUGCUGCCUGAUAAGCAGCUCCUGUUCCUCUCUGAGACGGAUAUUGGUUCUUCUUUCUUCAGCUUCUACCCUUGCUGAGACAAGAACAGGAGCACUUUCUUCAAGCACUCUCUGCAAUAUUGUUAACAAUUCUCAGGAGAUUUUGGCCCCUCAACCUGCACAAGUUAAUUACAGUACAAGUGAAUAAAAUAUUACAUGAGACCCAGCUUAUGCAAUGACCAGAGGAGAAACAAAUAUGUGAGCAUUGGGGUAGUUCACAACCAGCACAGUGAUAACCAACUAACCAAGUUUGAAGAUCAAUAAAACAAAAGAACGAUAUGAAGUGUUUGGUAUACUAUUCCCGUGAUUUAGACUAUUAUCCUCCAACAACAUAACCUUACAUGGAUAUUCAAGCAACCAAAAAAAUAGCUUCAGAACAAACAUCCCACUAUAUAUAAUCAAGUUUCACUUAGAGAAAUCUCCAGGGAUAGCAGAUAUGGAUAUUUAAAUUAUAUUGUGUAGAAAGGAUGAGAAAAGGUUGUGGGCCUUGUGGCAACAAAGCAUUUCACUUCAUAAAAGGCACUCAAAAAUAGCACACAUGCUGCCCUGCCCCAUUUGUAAGAGUGAUCAAAAGGGCUUUUUCUCAUCUGUGAUUUUUCCUACAAUCUAAAUAAGAGUAAAUGAUUGCAAUGCUACCAGUUGAAACACUCACACACGAGAUAAUUUCAGUAAGGACGUUUGGUUGAUGUUUUGGGAGUCUUUUUGUAAAAACAGUUAUGGGAAAUGUUUAGGGCAGUAAAAAAUUAGUUGCGAUUUGCCAACUGACAAAAGCCCACCAAGAAAAAGAAUAGGGAAAUAUUAAAUUAGUAGCAGAGUUGCCACCACAGUAAACCCCAUCCACAACCACACUUAGAAGAGCUCCUGUUUCCAAAUGAACUAAAAGCAAUAAAAGAACAAUGUCUUCUCACAUGCCAGAGGUCAAAGCUGAAAUACUCCCCUCUUAACCAUUCCCCUUGGCCAACCUCUUUUUUCCCUUCAAUUGGAUGCCUCACAAGAAGCAUCUCUGAUGUGUUGCCUCUAUUCCAUUUAAGGAUGUAGUGUAAUAUUGAUCAUGUACGUGAGACGAUAACACAGUUUAAAUCUAAGCCUUCCAAAGAUAUUAGCAUAUUUUCCAUCUCAACAUCAUGAAGGGAAAAAAAUAACCUCAACAAUAGAGCAUAUCACAAAUACAAUACAAAGUUUCAAGACAGAUAAGUCGAAAAUAUCAAUAAUACAAUAGUGAUAUACUUGCACAACCCAAGGGAACACAUCUGAAUAACAAUUAGACGAAUAACUGGACCAGCUUCGGGUAACACAUAAUACAAAAAGAAUUUUAGAGGAUAGCAACUCUUGUAAAAAAAAUGUAGUCUUAGUACCAAAAUCAAAGAUGAUUAAAUACCCCUAGUCACAUUCCUUUGCCUGCUAUUCAGUUACAUGUUGCAUUUCAAUGAAUACCAAACACAAACGUCCAAUAAACUGUUAAUAUAUUUUACCCAAUCAAAUCCAGGAAAUGUCUGUUUUCUCAUUCAAGCACCCAGAAAAACAGAGAUCACUUCAGACAUAUUUCAAUACUAAUCGACAAUCAUGAAAAUGAUCAAAUUUCAAGUAGAGACAAUGAACAAGAGAAGAAUAAUACCGGUUGCAGCAACGCAAUCCUCUGGUUCGUAGCGGCCAUAACAACAGCACAGAAAGGGUACCUCGACGCCUUUAAACUAUUACUCAUCUUGAACCCUUCACUAGCCUUCACACUCCCACCCCACGACACAAAAUUCUCAUUCAAAAACGCCGCCAACAUCUCAUUGCAAAGAGUGCCUUCACAGAACGCCGGCGUAUCGGGAUGCUCCGGCGAGUGCAAGUAAACAAAAAGCAGCUUAUAUUCGUGUCGAGACCUCUGCAGCGCGUCCAUGAAGCCCUCAGUUACAAAAUGCGGCCUCACCCUCCCAUAAUCCCGCUCAAAGCUAGCUACAAAAUCCAUGGCCUCGGAAACCGACGGCGACACCGUCACCAGCGGCGUCGUUCCAGCCCGCGACGUACCAGCAAGUCCAACCAUCCCAAGGGAGUAAGACAAAACGCCGCCGGCAGCCCACAUACCGAGCCCAAUUGCACCAGAAAUUAACCCUAGGCUGCCGGUGAUUAUGGAAAACGGGAGCGUGACUAAUUUCCACGCUAAUCCAGGGGGCUGAUUACUGCCGUUCGGGGCAAGAACGAGACCAUCAUCGAGAGGCUCUCGAUUAGGGCGCGCGGCGGUGGUGGGGGCGGCGGAGGCGUCGGAGGAGGACGGGCGGCCGCCAUCGGGGGCUGUAAUAGACGAGAUGGCCAAUUCGAGGUCCCAAUUGUGAGCGGAGAGAAUCUCGGUGCACAAAUCGGCGUCUUCUAAACCCGUGAUUGCUUGAAAAUACGCCAAUUUGUCAGCCACGUCUCCCAUUUCUGCGAUGCAGCAGUGUCUGUCAGUGCGGUUUAUGCCAAGAGUGGGAGGAAGUGGGGUGAUUGGGGGAGGUGGGAGCUCGAAAAAGGGGAAUUUGAGAUUUGGGAUCGAAGAAUUUGGAAGUUUGAAGUGUUGAAGGAGGAGAUGGGGAGAAGGGGUUUUGAUUAUGGGCGACGGAGAGAGUGAGGGAUGGCUAAAUGACGGUAAUGUCGGCGGCGAGGGAAGAAAUUACGAAACUGCCAUUGCC